rnacentral:rRNA from 1 species
GAUACCCUGGUAGUCCACGCUGUAAACGAUGGAUACUAGGUGUGCGGGGUCUGACCCCCUGCGUGCCGCAGCUAACGCAAUAAGUAUCCCACCUGGGGAGUACGAUCGCAAGGUUGAAACUCAAAGGAAUUGACGGGGGCCCGCACAAGCGGUGGAGUAUGUGGUUUAAUUCGAAGCAACGCGAAGAACCUUACCAGGGCUUGACAUCCCGAGGCCCGGUGUAGAGAUACACCUUUCUCUUCGGAGACCUCGGUGACAGGUGGUGCAUGGUUGUCGUCAGCUCGUGUCGUGAGAUGUUGGGUUAAGUCCCGCAACGAGCGCAACCCUUAUUGUUAGUUGCUACGCAAGAGCACUCUAACGAGACUGCCGUUGACAAAACGGAGGAAGGUGGGGACGACGUCAAAUCAUCAUGCCCCUUAUGUCCUGGGCCACACACGUACUACAAUGGCGGUCAACAAAGAGAGGCAAAGCCGCGAGGCAGAGCAAAUCUCAAAAAGCCGUCCCAGUUCGGAUUGCAGGCUGCAACCCGCCUGCAUGAAGUUGGAAUCGCUAGUAAUCGCGGAUCAGCAUGCCGCGGUGAAUACGUUCCCGGGCCUUGUACACACCGCCCGUCACACCAUGAGAGUCGGGAACACCCGAAGUCCGUAGUCUGACCGCAAGGGGACGCGGCCGAAGGUGGGUUCGAUAAUUGGGGUGAAGUCGUAACAAGGUAAC